rnacentral:piRNA from 1 species
UGAAUUUCUAAUCCUGACUCCACAUCCCAA